rnacentral:misc_RNA from 1 species
UCGAAAUAAAUCUGAUGGGUUGUUGCUGGUUCUCUAGGGAGCAUGUGCACGCCUUGUCAUCUUUAUAUCUCCACCUGUGCACUUUUUGUAGACCCUUCAAGGUCUAUGUCGCUUCAUUAACCCCAAACAAAUAAUAGAAUGUUGUGCCUUUGAAAAAUCUAUA